UGCGUGGGGCCUCGCGGCCGUGGGGAGCCCUGCGGGCCGUGCGCGGCGCGGGGGAGGCCGGGCGAUGGGAAGCGCGCGUGGGAGCCAGACAGACGCCCCGCGCCCGCCCCGGUCCCUCUCCGUUCAGGGGCUCGGGCGCCGCUGCGCUCAGCGCGCGUCCCCGGACGAGGACCCCGAGCCUCCCGGGGGGACGCUCCUCCCGCGGCUGCGGGCGCGGCCGGAAGCCUGAGGCGGGCCCUGCCGCCCGCGACGCCGUUCAGCGGGACCGACGUCCAGCCCUUGCGGCGGCGGAGCUCGGCUCCUGCCCGGGGUCGCCCUGCCCGGGGCGCCUGGGCCCGCGGGUCGGCUCAGAAAGACCGGGGUCUGGUGUCGGCGCCGCAAACCACACGUCCCGCCCCGCGGCUCACAUCGCGGUGUGGCUGCGCGAAACUCUGCAAAGUCUGGUGCCACCCGUCAGCUCCUGGGGUUAAGCGGUGGCCUCAGGACUUGCCUGACUGUUGCCGGGAAGGCACAGGCACCGGGCGGCUUUGCUGCGGUAACAAGGGGGCCCCGACGACAGGAAGGCCCCUCUCCAGGCGGCCUGGGCGGCGCCUCCAUUCCUGACCCUCGUCGGACGCCAGGCCUCACGGUCCCCCUCGGAGGUGCACUCUCAGAGGCACCUGUCACUUGCGUGACACCGCGACUGCGACAUUCCAGAGCCAUCGGAAUACGUAGGAGCCAAGCCCAGCUCCCACCUCCUCGCUGUCCAGUGUGGGAGUAAAACACCAGGAGAGCAGGGACUUGAGGGACACAUGACAGCGGCGCCUGGUUUGCAGGGAGCGGUGGCUUAUGUGGGACCUUGAAGUGAGGUUGAGAGACAAAUACUUAUCUUCGUCGUGGGCCUGCAGACGGGAGAAACGGCUCUUGCUGGUGACUAAACUCACCUCAAAACACUUUUAAAAACGACUUUUCUUAAGCAGGGUUGCCAGGCCCAGAGACAUCUCUGGGAUUAAGUGUGAAAAGAUUUUUGGCAUCUGGAUUGUUAAUUCCUGGAAUUAGUGUGUGGUUUGGGAUUGGCAGUCUGAGUUUGUAGCUUUUUCUUUUAUUUCAGUGUUUAUAGCUGGGUUUCUUCUUUUUCUUUUUCUUGUCUUCCCCUCUCUCUCCCAUUUCUUGAAGCUAAGAAAACAAUUUGACUGUUUGUUGAAAGUCAGGUCUCACUAUAGCCAGAAAUAGGGGAGCAAGGAAUUUGCAAUGCCCCCGGAAGGUCCUUAAAGAAAGGAGGGAAGGCAGUGUUGGGGGAUGAACACAGGACAGAAGUCCUUGCUUCAAAUAUCGCUUCUCACAUUGUGGGAAUUUGAGAAAUGCUGACAGCGGAGCAAAGGGCUUUGGCUACCACGAGAUCUGGGAGCAAAGCCCAUGGCAGAGGCCAUGUUAACUCUUACUGGGCCACCAGAAGCAGAGAUGAUGACGAUCAGCAGCAAAAGCACAGACUCUGCAGGGUGUGGUGGAAACUCGUGGCAGUAAAAUUAAUUGUUUAACAGAACUUCCCCCCUGUUGAAUUUGUGUUACGUAUUCUGGACAGCUAGUAUACACAGACUGACACCUGGAUAAGGUUAAAGCAAGAAGAUUUUUCUUUUAAUCUUUUCUCCACCCCACCCCCUCAUUUUCCCACAAAACAUCACAUUUCUGCUCUGAUCUUUGAUGAGUAUGUGACAUGUCAGUACAAUGAGGCUAAAUCGUAAGGUGUUUUUUUUUCUUUUUUCUGUUUUAACUCAUUGAAAGAGCAGAACUCUUUUUUUCUGGAAAUGCUCCCUUGAAGGGUGUCAUGAACUUGAACGCUACCAUGUUGGAAGGCUUGCCUGUGAGUGAGCCUACGCAGAGCAUGGGGGACAGAUGGGGAGACAGGCUGUUGUCACAAGUUGGGCCCCAGACCCAGAGCAUCAGAGGUGGCUCUGCUAUUGGGACAAUGCAUCUUCUGUUUUGACAUAAACCAGUUGAGUGGAAUUCCUGGCCGGUGCCCUUGUUUUGUUUGAAAUUGUUUCUGAUGAGAACUUGCAUUUUUGAGAUUUUGGCUGGAUGACUAGUUUUGCAAUAGUCUCAUAGUUUGUGUUAACCAUUUCAGAUGUUGCAAAAUGGGGCAUUGUGAGAGCUGAGUUUGGGUUAAUCCAACCUUGGGUGUUCCACAUGCUGGUGGGUGACUCAGGACAUGGGUGCUGGGAGACGAAGCACAAAUCAAGCGAGUCCCUGAGUUGGAAUUUGUUUGCUGGCAAUGAGAAAAAUCAAAGCGACCACACUUUUAUAUCUGAGGUUUUAUUUCUUUUUACUAUAAUCUGACAGAGGAAUUAACUUUAACUUUCAUCUGCCUGUAAAAUCUUAAUAGGAGAGAGGGCUCUACCUUGUGGUCGUUUCAUCUGACUGUGCUGUAUUUGUGCUAAGCCACCCAGUGGCACGAACUGGACAACCUCCCUUAGUGUGGCUGUGCUAUGAACAGGCACAUGGCCACUCAUGACAGACGGGGGAUAAGCAGAAACCUGGGAGACAGCCCAACUCAUGUCUGUCCAGACACAUUUCUCAGGCAAAAAUGAAUCCACCCAUCCCUUUCCCCAGGAACAUCCACUGUGGUCGACUUUGGGGGUGUGGAGUUAGGAGAAUGAGGACAGGAUCACCUUGACACGCUUCGGUUUUCAUCUCGGUGGGGUGUGUGGGCUGGCAUCUCAACACACGGUGGAUGAGAAGAGAGGACCGUUGUUGGCCUUCUCCCACCCCGGGAAUGGGAAAACCAGUGUGUUGCUUCAGGGUAGGGAAAGAGCUACCAUGAUUUUAAUGUCGCCAAGUUUUUAACAGCUCCUCCCUUCAGAACACAGAACUUGUCCAGGUCAGUACACCUGCAAUCCUCCUUUUCUGCGCCUUCAGCUGGCAGUGUUCACGAGCAGGAAGACCAUCAUCUUAGAAAGCAGUGGAUAAGAGAGAGGUCUCUGCAGAAUGUAACGUGCCGCAUCUCAUUACGGAGCGGUGAGCUCAGCAGUGUGAUAGACCCACAUUCCAAAAGCUGAGUGGCGCUUUCUCUCAUUUAUCUCCUCAGUCUCUAACUUUUCCAUCUACGUGUGAAAAAUCAGGAAACUUCCGGAGUGGAAUCGGCGUCAUCCCACACAGUAUGAUGCACGUAUCUUUAAAGUCGUGCGUGUCAUGGAGUGCUCUCCGCGCUGCGCCUCUGCCUCCUGCGUGGUGCUUCAGGAACACAGCGUCUCCCCCUCUCCCACCCACUUGCCUUCUCCUCUAGCAACAGAACCAGGGUACCUCCAGCUCCCCGCUCCACAAACAGUGCUGUGAAGGACGUCCCCAAUGGGUCGCCUGUGGCUCAAGACCUGCAAUUCCAGUAUCGUGUCAAAUCCUCUCAGUGAUGAUGUGCUUUUUCUCUGGCUCCUGAACUUACUGCUAUUUUCUCUAUCAUGCUUAACAUCUGUAAUAGAUGUUUUUUAUAUAAAAACUUUACAAAGUUAAAAAGUUCCCUUCUCUUCCUGGGUUGCCAAGAAGUUUCAUCAUUAAUGUGAAAUGUUUUUUACUGUAUUGACUGAGAUUCAUUAAUUGUAUUAUUUAGGCCAAGGACUGGCAGCCUGGUUCUACAGAAGGCCAGAUAGUAAAUAUUUUAGACUGCAGACCACGCCGUCUCUGUCACAUAUGCUUUGGUUUGUCUUGUUUGUUUAUAACCCUUUAAAAACAUAAAAAUCAUUCUCAGCUCAAGGGCUUAUAAGAACAUAUUACUGGGCCGGCCGAGUGGCGUGAUGGUUAAGAACUCGCUUGGGAUG